rnacentral:rRNA from 1 species
UACGUAGGGUGCAAGCGUUAAUCGGAAUUACUGGGCGUAAAGCGUGCGCAGGCGGUUUUGUAAGUCUGAUGUGAAAUCCCCCGGGCUCAACCUGGGAAUUGCGUUGGAGACUGCAAGGCUAGAAUCUGGCAGAGGGGGGUAGAAUUCCACGUGUAGCAGUGAAAUGCGUAGAGAUGUGGAGGAACACCGAUGGCGAAGGCAGCCCCCUGGGUCAAGAUUGACGCUCAUGCACGAA